ACAACGCCUCACUAACAGUGAAACUGCGAAUGGCUCAUUAAAUCACAUCCUAAKCUACUGGAUAGUCUMCAGUUACUCUGGAUAACUGCGGUAAUUCUGGARCUAUAUACACUGCGAAAAGAUCCGAACUUACUUGAGGAUGCAGUCGUUUUGAUUAUUAUCAAAACCCAUCGGCUUCSGSUGUAGAUUUUUGGUGACUCUGAAUAUAUCUUUGGGCUGAUCUUAUAKCCUUGCGAUGACAACCUMUCCUUGGAAGGGGUGCCCUAUYCACUGKCSACUGUGGCMUANACGCCCACRGUGGUUUUGACGGGUAACGGGGAAUCACGGGUUCGAUUCCAGAGAAAGGGAGCCUUAAAAACGGCUACCACAUCUAAAGAAGGMMCCAGGCCCGCAAAUUACCCAAKGACCVAAAGUCGAGGUAGUGACGAAAAAUARCKAUCCACGACUCAUCCGAGGCCCUGGAAUCGGAAUGAGUACRCUUUAAAACCGUCCCCGAGGAUCUA
rnacentral:rRNA from 1 species